UACGUAGGUGGCAAGCGUUAUCCGGAUUUACUGGGUGUAAAGGGCGUGUAGGCGGGGACGCAAGUCAGAUGUGAAAACCACGGGCUCAACCUGUGGCCUGCAUUUGAAACUGUGUUUCUUGAGUACUGGAGAGGCAGACGGAAUUCCUAGUGUAGCGGUGAAAUGCGUAGAUAUUAGGAGGAACACCAGUGGCGAAGGCGGUCUGCUGGACAGCAACUGACGCUGAGGCGCGAAAGCGUAGGGAGCAAACAGG
rnacentral:rRNA from 1 species